AGAUUAAACUGAAGAGUUUGAUCCUGGCUCAGAUUGAACGCUAGCGGGAUGCCUUACACAUGCAAGUCGAACGGCAGCGCGGACUUCGGUCUGGUGGC
rnacentral:rRNA from 1 species